GGGUCCUUAGCUCAGUCGGUUAGAGCGCCAGCCUUUUAAGCUGGGCGUCCUGGGUUCGAUUCCCAGAGGACCCACCA
rnacentral:tRNA from 1 species